UAGCUGGGCUUGGGGCGGGGCCGAGACGGAGCGAGGGGUCCAGGGUGUGGGAAACGGGGAGGGGUUUGAGGAGGGGAUCGGAAUGUGGCUCAAGUUCGGGAGGCGUUACCUGCGGAGGGUUUGAGGCAGGCCCAGGAGCGAGCCCAUGGUCUUCCGACGCGGGGCCAGGGGCGGGGCCCAGGAUCCGGAGCUUCGUGCGGGGCCGAGUCCAGGUUUGGGGCCCGGGAGGCGGGGCCAGUUAGGGCGAGGGUCCCUGGGAUCGUCGGGUCAGGCCUUGGGCUAACGUAGGCACUCUCGCAGUUCCUCCGCCUUCAGGAAGGUCUUUUCAGCAGGGGCCUUACGGGUGCAUGCUUCGGUCCUGGAGGCCUUAUCCUAGCCUCCUCUCCAUCAGCGCCACCCGUCUGGGGCCCGAAAGGAGGGAGCUUUCCCUCUGUCCCCCAGCCUUUGGACUGUCACUAAACAAGCCAUUCGUUCAUCAAAUACUUUUUAAGCGCCUACCAUGUGCCUGACAAGGGAGAUGUAACGGUGAGAAAAACUAGGUGUGGUCCAGGCCCUUCAGGGGCUCAGGUGCUCGUGGAAGAAGUGGACAUUGAAGUACUUAUCACACAAAUGAGGAUAAAAGUACGAUAACGAUAUCUACCACGAAGCUGUUGUUCCCCACCAGAACCAAAUGAGCGCAAGAUCUGACAAAGAAAAAAAAAGGUUCAUCUUUUAUUCCUCCAAACACUUUCAUUUAAAUCAAGAGGAUGGGAUGUGGUUAUUGCUGUGUUUUUAGACAGAAUCAACGGUUUCUGGGUCUGAGAUGUUGCAUACACCUUCUCAGUCCCUGUAUCCUGAGAUGGAGUCACCUGAGAAUCCACAGCAAGUCCUAACCAGGGAUGGGUCUGGGUGAUUAAGGAAGGUUGGCUUCAGAACUGGGCCAGGGGCACUGCUUUGCUUUUGCUGUUUUGAUCAGCUCUCUGCCUGAAGGAGACAAGAAAAACCAACGGGAACAGCCCAGUAAAGGCGCCAUUCCCCAUUUUACAGCUGGGGAAACUGAGUUACAGAGCUUGUCUGCACUGAGUCAUCAGGAGCAAAUGCUAGAUCAGAUAGGGUCUCUCUCUCUGCCACCCAGGCCAGAGUGCAGUUGACGCAGGGCAGGGGAGCCCCGAAGUGGAGCAUAGUGUGUCCGGAACUGGUGGGUUCUUGGUCUCACUGACUUCAAGAAAGAAGCCGCGGACCCUCGCGAGACGGGGUCUUGCUCUGUUGCUCAAGCUGGA
rnacentral:lncRNA from 1 species